GGUUAUGGCUCAGUGGUAGAGUGCUUGCCUAGCAUGCAUGAGGCACUGGGUUCAAUACUUAGCACCA
rnacentral:tRNA from 1 species